UUUGACUCACUUCUGCUAUAGCUGAAUAGAUAAAUUUAUAUAGAUAAAAAAUUUAAACUUCUCAUAAGGACUGUUUGGUGGCGCUUGUGUAUAUAGAUAAAUGAGAAUUAUUUUAGAAGAUACUACGAGGAGAAUUUUGCUCUAAAUGAGCACAACUAUUUCUCUGUUAUUUCAAUCCUCUUUGCACUUGCGUUAGUGUUGCCAACGAAGUGUAAUAUUAAUUAAAUGCAAAUCACACGAAAACCGAAGAAUCGGUCUAUGCAUCGCGCGAAUUUGAUAAUAUUUGUAUUCGCAAACCUCCGUGAAAAUCGGAACAGGUCUGAAUAUAUUUUUCUGUGCAAUCUAAAAGCUGGUGCUUCCACAAUUGAAAACACACAUAUUUCUCGGUUACUUCUUCGAAACACUACGAAAAUCCCAAUGAAAACAUAAUACUUUUAUGAAGAUUUUCUCAUAAGUAAUGAGAGAAUGUCCUACUGAAUGAAAUCAGCAAGUUUUUUUCCUUCAAAUUUAAUUUUAUAUUUUGAAUAAUAAAAUGAAAACACAAA